AAAAAAAAAAAAAAAAAAACUUCCAUCAAUGUCUAGUAGAACAAAUUUGCCUAAUGCUCAAAAUCUAAGGGAGACAACAACAAAAUUUAGCAAAUUAACACAAAAUGAACUUUGAAGAUGCAUCAAUUUCAAAAAAUUAAGCAAAGGAGCACAAAAUGAAAACUUCAAUUGCACGUUUGUUUCACUCAGUUGAAAAAAUGCAGCGGAUUCACAAUUGAUGAUGGUAACAGCAUGGUCCUGCUGAGUGUUGAAGAUGUUGCAAGAGCAAGAGCACCAACAAGCCUCAGUGGCCAAGGCAGUGUAUCGAUGAGGAUGACAGUCUGAAUAAUUAUGUGGAUGGAAUCGAUGAUCACACAUGACGAAAUUCUUUACAAUCUGAUUCUUCUAUGUCAUGACUUGUAACAAAGCCUAAAGCAAGAAAUCCCCUUCCUACAGAGAAAUUCGCAUCUCCAAAUCUUGAACUUAAAGCUUUAAUGCUUUAAUCUCACUAAGGAAUGGUUCACGCUCACAAGAGCACUGCUGCUUUUUCAGGAGCCAUUGUUACUCCUAGUGAAGCCACCAUUGUUCCUCAUGAAGCUGGAAGAAGUCUUCGCGGUUGAAAGAAGAAGGGUUGGGAAUAGAAGAAGAGAAGCAGACAUGAGAUUUAGAGAAAAAGGUAAGGAGGGCUUGGAAUAUAGGAAAGGAGGGAGAGCAUGUAGUCUAAGAGGGAAAGAGAAAUAACACAUGAGAGGGAGAUUGAGGAAGGAAAAUGAAAGAAAAGGAAAGGAAAGAGGAAUAAAGUGUGGACCAUGGGGUGUGGGAGUGUUAAAGGAGGAAGGAAGGUAUUAUGGGAGACUCCCGACAAAUUAGCUUUUUAUGAUUAUAGCAGCAAUAAUCUGACAAAGGGUGGGUUGUUCAGAGUAGACUCAAUGAACAACGUGGAUGGAAUAGAAUUGAGUUUUAGUUGUGUACAUAGGGAAAGUCAUGUGCAUUGAAAAAUGAAAUCACUGACUUGGACAGGAAUUUAGGGAAAUUUCUACUCUUUAAGAGAAAGUGAAAAAAGGAAAUGAAAGUGUUAUAGUAGGAAGGUUUUUGGGGUUGGGGGGGGGGGGGAGUGUGUUUGGUGCGGCCUACAAAUUUGUAAUUUACAGUGACUUGUGCUUUAUUAUAUAGUUAUAUAAUUGGUCAUAAAGAUUUUAGGUUUACUUCGAAUUAAUAUUUUUAAGUUAAAUUCUAAAUAUUUUGAUUUGGAUUAAAUUCUAUAAGUUAAAUAUCAAUUUUUGACCUGCAUUACGAAAUAUGUGUUUGAUUAAUGAAUUGGUAACUCUAACAGCUAUACAUUUUCUGCUUCUACAAUAUAAACUAAAGUAAACCCUCAAGAAUAAUUGGUUUAAAGACAUAAGAUUAUAUGUGUGUGUGUGUGUGUG
rnacentral:misc_RNA from 1 species